CCCUUAGAUGUUCUGGGCCGCACGCGCGCUACACUGACGGAGGCAGCGAGCGUGUCCUUCGCCGGCAGGUGCGGGCAAUCUUGCGAGUCUCCGUCGUGCUGGGGAUAGAUGGUUGCAAUUGUCGAUCUUGAACGAGGAAUUCCUAGUAAGCGCGAGUCAUCAGCUCGUGCUGAUUACGUCCCUGCCCUUUGUACACACCGCCCGUCGCUGCAACUGAUUGGGUGACCUGGUGAACAUCUUGGACCGGCUCACUCAAUUUCGAGAGGACUGGAAAAGGCCGUAAAUCAGGUACAUCUAGAAAUUGCAAAAGUCGUAACA
rnacentral:rRNA from 1 species